rnacentral:lncRNA from 1 species
UAAUGGUCACUCAUGAAAGACAAAAAAUUAGGAAGCUUUUAAAAGGGCUUCGUGUCGACAUCUAUGACUAGGUCAUAAUGCUGAGACCCAGCUCGUAUGCGGAGGUGCUAGAACAUGCAUAGUUGGCUGAAGACCUCAUCUUGGCCAAACACCAACGCAUUGCCUGAGUCUGUACCCAAUAACAACCCCAACAGCUUAGGAGGUGAUUGCCUGAUCCAGUAAGUAGCCAUCCUAAUAAACGAACUAGAGUUGU